CCUGCCCCAAGGGGCAUUGCAGGUGUGCUAUGUCAUAUUUGCAUCAGUAGGUGGCAGAGAAGAGAGAGGCCAUGUCUAUGUUCAGUGUUCUGACCUGGGCACAUCUGAAUGUUAGUAGCCUAAUAUU